rnacentral:other from 1 species
CCUAACCCGACAGCGAGUGAUUUUUUGAACCAAUACUCGCAAUCAGGGAGGCGUCCUGUAGCCGGCGUUGAGCAAGCCCACUUUAAGUGGGAAGCCUGAACCGACUCAUCUGCCACCCACUUGAACCUCAGGGUUCAAAAUCUAGACUGUCGGGCUCCUC